AGUCUGCAACUCGACNGCAUGAAGCCGGAAUCGCUAGUAAUCGCGGAUCAGAAUGCCGCGGUGAAUACGUUCCCGGGUCUUGUACACACCGCCCGUCACACCAUGGGAGUCGGAAAUGCCCGAAGCCGGUGGCCUAACCGAUAAGGGAGGAGCCGUCGAAGGCAGGUCUGAUGACUGGGGUGAAGUCGUAACAAGGUACC
rnacentral:rRNA from 1 species